rnacentral:lncRNA from 1 species
AACUUUAAGGUUUUCAGUUUACGUUUGUGGGGGUGUUGAUGACAAAAAAAAAUGUGGGUGCGAAAAUAAAUACCCCUGACCUUGUGGAUAAUUACGAGUUUUGUGAUUAUCGUUAGAAGCUUUGUUUUUCUGGUCGUUCUUGAUUGGCUAGUUAUCUCUACUCUCUUAAUAAAAAAAUCAAUUAAAAGGCUGUUUUGUGGAGAUUAUUACAUUAACUGCCUCUAUUC